rnacentral:lncRNA from 1 species
AAAUUUUUAUUUUAUGCCCUUUUAAGUUUGCAUAAGACAAGUAUUGAUUUUGCCAUAUAUUUUUGGAAGGUGGCACUAUAGACCAAGAUUAAGUCCUUAUGGAGACACUACAGGGAAACCGAGUGACAAAAUCUCAAUGCUGAGAAGCACGAUGCCAUCUCCAACACCUACUCCUGAAACACCAUAAACUCUGUAUCCUGCAUCCCAAGUGAUUCAACAAGGAAGGUAUAUACUCAAAAGAAUGGAAAGCAAGGUCUCAAAGAGGCACUUGUAUAUUCAUAUUUAUAGCAACAUCCAUUAUUCACAGUAACUAAAAUAUGGAAGCAACCCAUCAGCAAGUGAAUGGGUCAGCAGAUGACUGCACCAUUGGCCAUGUUGAAGUAAGCCACCAAGUUGCUAUCCUUUGUGAAGAUGCCUUCAUAAGACAGCUUCUCCUUCUCUGCAAGCAUGCCUGCAGCUUCAGAAAUCUUCUCCGUGAUGCUAGAGAACUGAUCUGUGAGCAGGAGGCUGAAGAGUAGAGCCUGCCCUUUCAGUUUCCAUUCUGUCUUAUCCUGCAUGUAGGCACCUGGAUUUUGAAGAACACCAGCCUUGUCUUUGUGCACGAACUCCUUCUCAGGCAUGAGGCUCUUCUCUGUCUUCAGGGUCUUGGAGGUGUGUGCGCCUUCCAUGGGAGGCAGCGUUGGACAGUGGGCUUUGUGCCUGGGGCUGGGACCAGUGACAAAGGUGAAGCAGGGAAAAAGGCUGUUGGCACAAUCAUAGGGGAGGACAAGGUGCCAUGGUAAGGGGCCAGUGGAGUCAUGUGUACCACAAUGAUCUUGGGUGAGUGUAGGUAAGCAGCAUGGAAGUGAUAGCUGAGCCAGGGGGCAGUCAGACCAUGAGAGCCACUGGGGCCAAGGACAUGAUGGGGCUGUAGCUAAGAUGGUGCUAUGGCCACAAUUAUAACACAGAUGGACUAGAGGCAGCAUGGCACAUGAAAAUGAGGUGAUGAGAGGGUCAAGCUGGGAAUGUUGAUGGCUGGGGGCACAAGUGGUGACUGCUGGGGGAUGCAAUUGGGCUUGCUGGCGUCAGUGUUCUCUUUGGUAUCAUGCUCCAACACUGGGCCCUUAGAUAGGCUCCUGACAGUUGAUAUUGGACUGGGUGGCCUGCUGGGUCCUGGUCAUGCUGCCUAAGUGACCAGUAUCAAUUAGAUAUUGCUGAAAGUGGUAUGAAAUAUGUUUUAUGCUGUAGAUUGUUAUUAUUUUCUAUUGUUAGUUUAAAAACAUCAUUAUUUCAUAACAUUUAUUUAUUUGUUUAUUGGGUUUAAGAUGGUUCCAAAUAACAAUCAAAAAGAGGUAUAGAAACCUGUUGUAAUUCUGUCUCAUUAUAUAGUAAAUGAGAUUUAUUUAAAUGGGAAAAAAAGGAAUAAUAAUUAUUGAUGGAUGAUGAAUGGAUGAGAAAAAUUCAUGGAAGAGUGAAUAAAUGCAUGAUACAGUAUGGAGACAGAAUCUAUAUAAUUAGAUCAGUUCCUAUCACGGAGGAACAUUAGAUGUUGAUGUCAAGGAUUUAUUAGAAAUGUUAUUGAAGAUAUGUAGGGUAAUGUUCAUAUAAUUAACAGAAAUCAGGAUUGAAAAGGCAGUAGCGUUUUUGAAGCAGAAGUAAUAUAUUUUUUGAUGUAUUUAGAUAAAUCUUCCAUUGGGGCAAAUUUGAGGUAAUACCUAACAGUUGAAAUUACAAACCUAAACUUUAAGAGAGUCUUUUUGGAUUAUAAAAGUUGAUAACACAUAUGCAAAGAAUACAAAUUCAACUAUAGGAAUAGAUUCAAAAUAGAGUCAGACAAAAUGAAACAAGAAAGAAGGUUUUGGAGACAAGGCCAUUUGGAAUGAAUAUUUCUAGGUUGGGGAUGACCGUAUGAGAAAGACCAGAACAAUAACAUAGAAGAUAAGAUUGAUAUUUGUAAGGAACCUAGAAGCCAGAGAAAGAGAAUUUUAAAAGUUGAUUUGCCAGUUGGAAAAAAAAAAAGCAUUAAAUAUUUCAGAAAUUAAGGGUUUUACGCAAUGAGUGAUCAGUUUUGCUAAAUAAAGAAUAUCAUUUGGAUUGUGUUUGAAAACUUUUGUCAAAGACCAUUAACAGUGUCAUAUGGGAAAAUAGAAGAGUCCCUACUGAGUUUAUGUCAUGUCAUAUGGAAUAAGCCUAAAGGUUUAGAAUUAUUCUUCAGUUUUGAGCAAAAUUAACACUAACAUUUUUAGUAAGAUAUGUUUAUGCAAAUGUGCAGUUUUCUGAUGAUAUUCAAGAGCAGUAUUGAGGUGUUAUUUUAUACAUAUGAGAACGUCUAGUUACUCAAACACAAGAGAUGUCCAGUAGUUGUUUCUCAAUAAUAAUAUCUAAAAUAUGACCAUUCACUAUUAUGUUGAGAUGCUAACUCAUUCUAUUUAUUUUUUUGUGUGAAGUAGGAAUUUGUGAUAAAUAUUUUCUAUUUAUAUGUUAUGUUUCUAUACUAUUUGUAUCAUGUUUAAGGAUUUAAAAAAAACAACUAAAAUUAAAAGAAGUUACCAUAUAAAUUUUUUAUGGCAAAAGGAAGGAAACACAAAUCACACAUACACACACACACAUACACACAGACAAGAUUUCAGAAAAAAAAUAUAACCAGCUUUUUAAGUAUGUAAAUAAAGUCAACUUUUCAAGUUUACUAUGAGGAUUGAGAUAAUAUACAUAAGCAUGAUUUACAUAUUAUAAAACACUCAGAGAUCAUUGUUAUGUUAAUUAUUAUGUUAAUACUCCUUGGAUAAGGCAAGGAGUAUUAAUCUAACACAGUAGAUCAUGAAAUAGAAACAGUACUAACAAUAACUUCAAAUAUAAGAGUACUGUGGGGGGCGCCUGGGUGGCUCAGUGGGUUAAGCCGCUGCCUUCAGCCGCUGCCUUCAUGAUCCCACGGUCCUGGGAUUGAGCCCCACAUCGGGCUCUCUGCUCAGCGGGGAGCCUGCUUCCUCCUCUCUCUCUCUGCCUGCCUCUCUGCCUGCUUGUCAUCUCUGUCUGUCAAAUAAAUAAAUAAAAUCUUUAAAAAAAAAAAAAAAAGUACUGUGGUUACACUCAUUCUGGUAUUCAUGUUGAUCUAUGAAGAAAGAAAAAAUAGAUAUUGUGUUUUUUCUAAUUUUUUCAAUAGCAAAACUAAUAUAUACAGGUGGU